UUCGCAAUGCCCGAAAGGGUGACGAUGCGACGCCGCGUGAGCGAAGAAGGCCCUAGGGUUGUAAAGCUCUGUCGAGGGUUAUGAAAUAUAGAUGGGUUAAUACCCCAUUUAUUUGACAAAGGCCCCAAAGGAAGCCACGGCUAACUCUGUGCCAGCAGCCGCGGUAAUACAGAGGUGGCGAGCGUUGUUCGGUAUUAUUGGGCGUAAAGAGCACGUAGGUGGUUUUGUAAGUCAGGUGUGAAGGCCUUCUGUUCAAAGGAAGAACGGCAUCUGAAACUGCAGAUCUUGAGUGUAGGAGGGGAGAGUGGAACUUCUGGUGGAGCGGUGAAAUGCGUAGAUAUCAGAAGGAACGUCGGCGGCGAAAGCGACUCUCUGGCCUAUUACUGACACUGAGUGUGCGAAAGUUAGGGGAGCAAACGGGAUUAGAUACCCCGGUAGUCCUAACCGUAAACGAUGGGCACUAAGUAGAGGGGUUUU
rnacentral:rRNA from 1 species